rnacentral:rRNA from 1 species
CCUACGGGAGGCAGCAGUGAGGAAUAUUGGUCAAUGGCCGGAAGGCUGAACCAGCCAUGCCGCGUGAAGGUCAGUGCCCUAUGGGCGUUAAACUUCUUUUGUGCGGGAGCAAUAAUGGUCACGUGUGGCCAGACGAGAGUACCGUACGAAUAAGCAUCGGCUAACUCCGUGCCAGCAGCCGCGGUAAUACGGGGGAUGCAAGCGUUAUCCGGAUUUAUUGGGGUGAAAGGGUUCGUAGGCUGUGAGGUAAGUCAGCGGUGAAAUGCCCCCGCUCGACGGGGUGAAGUGCCAUUGAUACUGCCUUGCUGGAAUGCGGAUGCCGUGGGAGGAAUGUGUGGUGUAGCGGUGAAAUGCAUAGAUAUCACACAGAACACCGAUUGCGAAGGCAUCUCACGAAUCCGCGAUUGACGCUGAUGCACGAAAGCGUGGGUAUCAAACAGGAUUAGAUACCCGGGUAGUC